GACGAACGCUGGCGGCGUGCCUAAUACAUGCAAGUAGAACGCUGAAGGAGGAGCUUGCUUCUCUGGAUGAGUUGCGAACGGGUGAGUAACGCGUAGGUAACCUGCCUGGUAGCGGGGGAUAACUAUUGGAAACGAUAGCUAAUACCGCAUAAGAGUAGAUGUUGCAUGACAUUUGCUUGAAAGGUUCAAUUGCAUCGCUACCAGAUGGACCUGCGUUGUAUUAGCUAGUUGUAGGGGUAAAGCCUCACCAAGGCGAGGAUACAGAGCCGCCCGGAGAGGGGGAGCGGCCAGACUGAGAGGGAGACACGGCACAGAGGCCUUCGGGAGGCAGCAGGAGUGCAUCGUCGGCAAUGGGCGGAAGUCUGAGCGAGAAACGCGGCGGGAGGGAAGAAGGUUGUCGGGUCGUAAAGCUCUGUUGUAAGAGAAGAAAGAGUGUGAGAGUGGAAAGUUCACACUGUGACGGUAUCUGACAAGAAAGGGACGGCUAACUACGUG
rnacentral:rRNA from 1 species